GCCCGGCUAGCUCAAUCGGUAGAGCGUGAGACUCUUACUCGAGAAGCUUCUCCGUCAUCUCAAGGUUGUGGGUUCGACCCCCACGUCGGGCU